rnacentral:rRNA from 1 species
UACGUAGGUGACAAGCGUUGUCCGGAUUUACUGGGCGUAAAGAGCGCGCAGGCGGUCGAUCAAGUCGAGUGUGAAAGCCCCCGGCUCAACUGGGGAGGGUCAUUGGAAACUGGGGAACUUUGAGUGCAGAAGAGGAUAGUGGAAUUCCAAGUGUAGCGGUGAAAUGCGUAGAGAUUUGGAGGAACACCAGUGGCGAGGGCGACUGUCUGGUCUGUAACUGACACUGAGGCGCGAAAGCGUGGGGAGCAAACAGGG